UACGAAGGGGGCUAGCGUUGCUCGGAAUCACUGGGCGUAAAGCGCACGUAGGCGGAUCGCUAAGUCAGGGGUGAAAUCCUGGAGCUCAACUCCAGAACUGCCUUUGAUACUGACAAUCUCGAGUCCGGGAGAGGUGAGUGGAACUGCGAGUGUAGAGGUGAAAUUCGUAGAUAUUCGCAAGAACACCAGUGGCGAAGGCGGCUCACUGGCCCGGUACUGACGCUGAGGUGCGAAAGCGUGGGGAGCAAACAGG
rnacentral:rRNA from 1 species